rnacentral:lncRNA from 1 species
AUACUCUCAAUCUAGACUUCUGUUAUCUGCAAAACUAUCUUUCAAAAAUAAGAGGAAAAUACAGAUUACUUCCAGACAAAGAAAAACCAACACGGUUUACCAUAAACACAUCUCAGUAAAGGACCUUUGAAGAUGAAAAAUAAUCCCAGAAGGAAAGUUGAAGACACAAAAAGAGAUGCUGAAGCAAGGGAACCACCAAAAGAAGGGGUAAGAAAGGAGAAAAAAACAGCAAAAGGAUAAAUUAGAAAACACAAUAUAGAGAGGUAUAAAUAAUCCAAAUAUACCAGAAAUCACAAUAAAUCUAAAUAGAUACAACUUCUGAUCAAAGGCACAAUUAUGAGAUUGGGUUUUUGAAGCUGAGUUAUGUGCUGCUUACGGGAGGCUCACUGCACAGCCACCGCCAGGGGCGAUGAACAGGCGGGCAGGUCCUGCCCUACUGCGGACUGUACGGUUCAACUCAGCAUGGGGACGUGAGGAUUUUUCAGGCAGGGGCUCCUCAUGGCCUCCACAGUGAAGGAGACAAUGAAAGUUAUCAUGUAACUCUGGGGGCGGUGCUUGGAUUGUUACAAACCGAAAGGACUGAAACAAGUUUCUGAGGGUGAUGACUGGGUUCUCUGCUUGGAGCCUCACCAGGCCAAAGGCAAGGCGAUGCCCAGCCUGAGGUCUUGCCUGAGGGUGCUGGGGAGGCAGCAGCGACUGGGCUCCCUCAGG